rnacentral:tRNA from 1 species
GAGAAAGUAUAAUGCAGGAACUGCUAACUCAUGCUUCCAUGUAUAAAAACAUGGCUUUCUCA